UUCCUGGUCACACAACCUUAAUUUACUUCUGCAAGUUAAGUCAUUUGAAUCAACAGCUGAAGUAGAUGAGUGGCUGUUUUCUAAUCCUAUGCUGACCCCAGAGCCUUGCAUUUUGUUGAACUAAAUUCUACUGUAAUUAGCUAUGGUAUACAGACUAAUUCAACUCCAUUAGAAAAAAAGGGAACUAUGAAGAACCCACAUUAAAGUUUCAAAUACCACUUCAAAUUGCAGCAGAGCGUGAAAUUGCUAGGUCUCUCAUUGGAGAUCCAAACUUUAGCUUGAUGGUUUCAUUUAAGGAGUUUGCACACCCUAAGGUGAAAAGUCUCUCUGCAAUGAUUACCGUAGGACCACCAUUUUUUAUUACAACUGCAAUGUUUGGUUUUGUACUUCAGAUGAGUUCUUUGGUGGUGGAGAAAGAACUAAAACUUCGACAGUGUCAAGAAUCACACAUUUGGAUCUGAUGAAAUUAUUGCAGAAGGCUAUUUUGUUUCAAGUGACCCAAAUGAUGAGGUUCACCAUGUUCCUCUUGGGCCUAGUGCUAUGAAAAUGGGGAUAGAUCUUGUGAGAAAGAAUGAUGAAUUUCUGUGGAGGCCUUCAGGAGUUAUGUCUACUAUAGAAGAUGCUAUAGGUAGUAUAAUUGCAUGGCCAGCUGAUAAAGUCAUAAUUAGCUAAGAAAAUCAACCCACAACAAAGACAAGUGCAUAAUGGAUGAUGAAUUGAAGGAUGGAGCAAGUUUCAUGGUUUACUUUUUGUGUAUCUUGUUAUGUUUUUGUUUUUCAUUUUUGAAGUAAAAGAUGUUCAAGAUUAUAAAACUUUAUUAUGUAUGCUUUCAAACUUAAGUUAGAACUAAGAUCUCAUGAAGUAGCCACAGUCAUGGUUUGAAUUAGUUAUUGUUUAAUGUAAUACUUAUGGUUUAUCAAUCUAUUUAAUAUUACAUUUUGUGAUUAA